rnacentral:misc_RNA from 1 species
GAUGAAGAACUCAGCGAAAUGCGAUACUUGGUGUGAAUUGCAGAAUCCCGUGAACCAUCGAGUCUUUGAACGCAAGUUGCGCCCGAAGCCACUAGGCCGAGGGCACGCCUGCCUGGGCGUCACACGCCGUUGCCCCCCCAUCUACUCCUUCGGGAUUGCGGGGGGGCGGAUGAUGGCCUCCCGUGCGCCUAGCCGCGCGGUUGGCAUAAAUACCAAGUCCUCGGCGACGCACGCCACGACAAUCGGUGGUUGCGAAACCUCGGUUGCCCGUCGUGUGCGUUCGUCGCGCAUCGAGGGCUCGAAAAAAUGCUCGGCUCCGGCUGGGCUUUCAACGCGACCCCAGGUCAGGCGGGGUUACCCGCUGAAUUUAAGCAUAUCAAUAAGCGGAGGA